AUUGAACGCUGGCGGCAGGCUUAACACAUGCAAGUCGAGCGGGGGAAGGUAGCUUGCUACUGGACCUAGCGGCGGACGGGUGAGUAAUGCUUAGGAAUCUGCCUAUUAGUGGGGGACAACAUCUCGAAAGGGAUGCUAAUACCGCAUACGUCCUACGGGAGAAAGCAGGGGAUCUUCGGACCUUGCGCUAAUAGAUGAGCCUAAGUCGGAUUAGCUAGUUGGUGGGGUAAAGGCCUACCAAGGCGACGAUCUGUAGCGGGUCUGAGAGGAUGAUCCGCCACACUGGGACUGAGACACGGCCCAGACUCCUACGGGAGGCAGCAGUGGGGAAUAUUGGACAAUGGGGGGAACCCUGAUCCAGCCAUGCCGCGUGUGUGAAGAAGGCCUUAUGGUUGUAAAGCACUUUAAGCGAGGAGGAGGCUACUUUAGUUAAUACCUAGAGAUAGUGGACGUUACUCGCAGAAUAAGCACCGGCUAACUCUGUGCCAGCAGCCGCGGUAAUACAGAGGGUGCGAGCGUUAAUCGGAUUUACUGGGCGUAAAGCGUGCGUAGGCGGCUUAUUAAGUCGGAUGUGAAAUCCCCGAGCUUAACUUGGGAAUUGCAUUCGAUACUGGUGAGCUAGAGUAUGGGAGAGGAUGGUAGAAUUCCAGGUGUAGCGGUGAAAUGCGUAGAGAU
rnacentral:rRNA from 1 species